rnacentral:misc_RNA from 1 species
GAAAAACGCACCCAACUAUACCUAGCUGGAAUUCAAUUUUCCCAAAAAUUCAUCGUUAAAUUGAGUGCAAGAUUUUUCAUUUUCUUAAAAAAAUCAAAGAUUUUGCUACUUCAAGAACCCUAUUUCUCUUUUGAUUCAAAGAAGUUAUCAUAUUUUCUGCUAUUGACGAAAUCCCCCAUUUGAAGAGCUUCAUUGGGUAAUCAAAACUAUGGCAGAUGAAGGUUUGGUUUCUCAUAAAAGAGACCCCAUCAAAGCUUCAGUUGGCAAUGCUGCAGCACAGCGAAGACGGCAACAUGCUGUUACAGUGGGGAAGGAAAGGAGAGAAGCCCUGAUGCGGACAAAGCGUCUAUGCAGAGUUGGAGUUAGUGCUGAUUUUGAUGAGGCCUCUAUGGAUGAUAGUGACAUGAUGAUUGAAGAAGAUCAAGCAAUUUUGGAGGCCUUGACUUCGGCAGCUGUGGAAGAAUUAAAGCUUGAUGUUGCCUACCAGGGUAAAGGGGCAACAGAGAAAAGAGUGAAUGCUCUUCGUGAGCUGAGACGCUUUCUCUCUAGGUCGGAAUUCCCUCCUGUUGAA